CAGUCGCCGCGGUAAUACGUAGGGUGCAAGCGUUAAUCGGAAUUACUGGGCGUAAAGCGUGCGCAGGCGGUUUGUUAAGACAGAUGUGAAAUCCCCGGGCUCAACCUGGGAACUGCAUCUGUGACUGGCAAGCUAGAGUGUGGCAGAGGGGGGUGGAAUUCCGCGUGUAGCAGUGAAAUGCGUAGAUAUGCGGAGGAACACCGAUGGCGAAGGCAGCCCCCUGGGCCAACACUGACGCUCAUGCACGAAAGCGUGGGGAGCAAACAGGAUUAGAUACCCGCGUAGUCCCUGUCUCUUAUAC
rnacentral:rRNA from 1 species